rnacentral:rRNA from 1 species
GAUGAACGCUAGCUACAGGCUUAACACAUGCAAGUCGAGGGGAAACGACAUCGAAAGCUUGCUUUGAUGGCGUCGACCGGCGCACGGGUGAGUAACGCGUAUCCAACCUGCCCGCCACUUGGGGAUAACCUUGCGAAAGUAAGACUAAUACCCAAUGAUAUCCCACGAAGGCAUCCGAAUGGGAUUAAAGAUUUAUCGGUGAUGGAUGGGGAUGCGUCUGAUUAGCUUGUUGGCGGGGUAACGGCCCACCAAGGCAACGAUCAGUAGGGGUUCUGAGAGGAAGGUCCCCCACAUUGGAACUGAGACACGGUCCAAACUCCUACGGGAGGCAGCAGUGAGGAAUAUUGGUCAAUGGGCGAGAGCCUGAACCAGCCAAGUAGCGUGCAGGACGACGGCCCUAUGGGUUGUAAACUGCUUUUAUAAGGGAAUAAAGUGGGUCUCGUGAGACUUUUUGCAUGUACCUUAUGAAUAAGGACCGGCUAAUUCCGUG